UACGUAGGGCGCAAGCGUAUCCGGAAUUACUGGGCUUAAAGAGUUCGUAGGCGGCAUUGCAAGUAGGGUGUGAAAGCCCUCGGCUCAACCGAGGAAUUGCGCUCUAAACUGCAGUGCUUGAGGAACCUAGAGGUGAGCAGAACAGAUGGUGGAGCGGUGAAAUGCGUUGAUAUCAUCUGGAAUACCGGAGGCGAAGGCGGCUCACUGGGAGUUUCUGACGCUGAGGAACGAAAGCCAGGGUAGCGAACGGG
rnacentral:rRNA from 1 species